UAGGGAAUCUUCGGCAAUGGGGGCAACCCUGACCGAGCAACGCCGCGUGAGUGAAGAAGGUUUUCGGAUCGUAAAGCUCUGUUGUAAGAGAAGAACGUGUGUGAGAGUGGAAAGUUCACACAGUGACGGUAACUUACCAGAAAGGGACGGCUAACUACGUGCCAGCAGCCGCGGUAAUACGUAGGUCCCGAGCGUUGUCCGGAUUUAUUGGGCGUAAAGCGAGCGCAGGCGGUUUAAUAAGUCUGAAGUUAAAGGCAGUGGCUUAACCAUUGUUCGCUUUGGAAACUGUUAAACUUGAGUGCAGAAGGGGAGAGUGGAAUUCCAUGUGUAGCGGCGAAAUGCGUAGAUAUAUGGAGGAACACCGGUGGCGAAAGCGGCUCUCUGGUCUGUAACUGACGCUGAGGCUCGAAAGCGUGGGGAGCAAACAGG
rnacentral:rRNA from 1 species